UACGUAGGGUGCAAGCGUUAAUCGGAAUUACUGGGCGUAAAGGGUUUGUAGGUGGCCCGCUAAGUCACACGUGAAAUCCCUCAGCUUAACUGGGGAACUGCGUGUGAGACUGGCAGGCUCGAGGGCAGGAGAGGAACGCGGAAUUCCAGGUGUAGCGGUGAAAUGCGUAGAUAUCUGGAGGAACACCGGUGGCGAAGGCGGCGUUCUGGACUGUCUCUGACACUGAAGAACGAAAGCCAGGGGAGCAAACGGG
rnacentral:rRNA from 1 species